AAGUCGUAACAAGGUUUCCGUAGGUGAACCUGCGGAAGGAUCAUUAUUGAAUAAACUUGGUCAAGCUGUUGCUGGCCCUUCGGGGCAUGUGCACGCUUGCCACCAAUUUUAACCACCUGUGCACCUUUUGUAGAUUGGAAACGUUUCUCGAGGCAACUCGGAUUGAGGACUGCUGUGCGCAAGCCAGCUGUUCUUGUGUUUCUCAAUCUAUGUUUUCAUAUACUCCUAAUGUAUGUAUCAGAAUGUAUUGUUAGGCCUCUGUGCCUUUAAAUCAAAUACAACUUUCAACAACGGAUCUCUUGGCUCUC
rnacentral:misc_RNA from 1 species